rnacentral:rRNA from 1 species
UACGUAGGGGGCAAGCGUUGUCCGGAAUCAUUGGGCGUAAAGAGCGCGUAGGCGGCCCGAUAAGUCCGCUGUGAAAGUCAAGGGCUCAACCCUUGAAUGCCGGUGGAUACUGUCGGGCUAGAGUCCGGAAGAGGCGAGUGGAAUUCCUGGUGUAGCGGUGAAAUGCGUAGAUAUCAGGAGGAACACCGGUGGUGUAGACGGCUUUCUGGACCGUAACUGACGCUGAGACACGAAAGCGUGGGUAGCAAACAGG